rnacentral:rRNA from 1 species
GAGAUGUGGGUAGUCCGCACGAGCGCACCUCACUUUUAGUUGCCAUCAUUAAGUUGGGCACUCUGAAAGAACUGCCAGUGAUAAGCUGGAGGAAGGUGGGGAUGACGUCAGGUCCUCAUGGCCCUUACGUGUUGGGCUACACACGUGCUACAAUGGCAUCUACAACAGGAAGCAAAACGGCAACGUUAAGCAAAUCCCGAAAAGAUGCCUCAGUUCGGAUUGCACUCUGCAACUCGAGUGCAUGAAGCUGGAAUUACUAGUAAUCGUGGAUCAGCGUGCCACGGUGAAUGCGUUCCCGGGUCUUGUACACACCGCCCGUCACACCAUGGGAGUUGGUUCUACCUUAAGGCAAGGUUUUAAACCCUUGACCACGGUAUAGUCAGCGACUGGGGUGAAGUCGUAACAAGGUAGCCGUAGGGGAACCUGCGGCUGGAUUACCUCCUUUCU